rnacentral:rRNA from 1 species
GACGAACGCUGGCGGCGUGCUUAACACAUGCAAGUCGAACGAAGUGGCGAACGGGUGAGUAACGUGUAAUCAACUUGCCCAUCAGAGGGGGACAACAGUUGGAAACGACUGCUAAUACCGCAUACUGAAGGAGGGGAUUGCGUCUGAUUAGCUAGUUGGAGGGGUAACGGCCCACCAAGGCGAUGAUCAGUAGCCGGUCUGGGAGGGUGAACGGCCACAUUGGGACUGGGCCAAGGCCCAGCAUCCUGCGGGAGGCCGCAGUGGGGAAUCUUCCGCAAUGGGCGUAAAUCUGACGGAGCAACGCCGCGUGAGUGAUGACGGCUUUCGGGUUGUAAAGCUCUGUUAAUCGGGACGCGGUACCGGAAUAGAAAGCCACGGCUAACUACGUGCCAGCAGCCGCGGUAAUUC